UACGUAGGGUGCAAGCGUUGUCCGGAAUUAUUGGGCGUAAAGAGCUUGUAGGCGGUUUGUCGCGUCUGCUGUGAAAUUUCGGGGCUCAACCCCGAACUUGCAGUGGAUACGGGCAGACUAGAGGUAGGUAGGGGAGAAUGGAAUUCCCGGUGUAGCGGUGAAAUGCGCAGAUAUCGGGAGGAACACCGGUGGCGAAGGCGGUUCUCUGGGCCUUACCUGACGCUGAGGAGCGAAAGCGUGGGGAGCGAACAGG
rnacentral:rRNA from 1 species